rnacentral:rRNA from 1 species
GACGAACGCUGGCGGCGGGCUUAACACAUGCAAGUCGAACGGAAAGGCCCUGCUUGUGUGGGGUGCUCGAGUGGCGAACGGGUGAGUAACACGUGAGUAACCUGCUCUUGACUUUGGGGUAACUUCAGGAAACUGGGGCUAAUAUCGGAUAGGAUCUCCUGCUGCGGGGUGGGGGUUGGAAAGUUUCGGCGGGUGGGGAUGGACUCGCGGCUUAUCAGCUUGUUGGUUGGGUAGGGGCUUACCAAGGCAUGGACGGGUAGCCGGCCUGAGAGGGUGACCGGCCACAUGAGGACUGAGAGACGGACCAGAGUGCUACGGGAGGCAGCAGUGGGGAAUAUUGCACAAUGGGACGAAGCCUGAUGCAGCGGCGCCGCGUGCGGGAUGACGGCCUUCGGGUUGUAAACCGCUUUAGCCUGUGACGAAGCGUGAGUGACGGUAAUGGGUAAAGAAGCACCGGCUAACUACGUG